rnacentral:rRNA from 1 species
AACGAACGCUGGCGGCAUGCCUAACACAUGCAAGUCGAACGAACCCUUCGGGGGUAGUGGCGCACGGGUGCGUAACGCGUGGGAAUCUGCCCUUUGCUUCGGAAUAACAGUUAGAAAUGACUGCUAAUACCGGAUGAUGUCUUCGGACCAAGGAUUUAUCGGCAAGGGAUGAGCCCGCGUAGGAUUAGGUAGUUGGUGGGGUAAAGGCCUACCAAGCCGACGAUCCUUAGCUGGUCUGAGAGGAUGAUCAGCCACACUGGGACUGAGACACGGCCAGACUCCUACGGGAGGCAGCAGUGGGGAAUAUUGGACAAUGGGCGCAAGCCUGAUCCAGCAAUGCCGCGUGAGUGAUGAAGGCCUUCGGGUCGUAAAGCUCUUUUACCAGGGAUGAUAAUGACAGUACCUGGAGAAUAAGCUCCGGCUAACUCCGUGCCAGCCGCCGCGGUAACAC